GAAAAAAGGUGAAAAAAGUAAUUUCUCAAGAUGUUAGUGGCAAGGGAUAACAAUCAUGAUGCAAUGUGGGGCCAUAUGGCCAUAGUUGCAACGUUGCUACAGGUAUAACAACUCGGUGACAAUCUUUUGGCAAACUGUUUACAGAGGUUAAGGUGGCAUAAUAGAAGUAGUGGCAAUGCAGAGCUAUUAUAUGCACCUAAGCAACAAUUGUGAUGGCAUACAAGGUAGCAGUUUAGUAUAAUGUCAAAAGCUGAAAUAUGAGUCAUGUACAUAUAAGAUUUACUUCGCCUUUUAAGUAAUAGCAACGUCAGUUUCUAGGAGCCAUUAUGUCACUU
rnacentral:misc_RNA from 1 species